UAUCAGCUUCAUUAUCUACUUCACCUCUGGUUCGUUCAGCAGUGGCAUCCUGAACUCAAUACGUCCCCAGCAAAUUAUGUAUUUCCAGUUGUAGAAGCCUUGAGGAGAUGACCCUUCAACCUGGUCUGCAGAGACCCCCACAGAUCUGCUGCGGACCAUGAUGUACGCCGUGUGCUCAGACUGUUCUCCAGCUCUGAGGCAUGGCAUCAAGGAACACAGUGGUACUAUCAAUGUGGUACUUUGUCCUAGCAGAAUUCAGAGGAAUUUCUCCUAGAAGCCUUCCUGGGCACAUGUGCACUCUAUGGUGAGGGGGCAGAGCCCUCUCAACUUGGUUGCAGUCCACCAGAAAUACUUGAGAAUGAAGAAAAAUUGCGGAAGUCGGGCAGUUUGGUGGAAGAGAAGCAUCAGGAGUUCAAUGUGAAGACGGGAUGAUUCAUGAGGCCAAGCCGGUGGAAGGGUGAAGGAGGACGAAUGCAGAAAACUUGGAGGGCCCUCUCUCUUGUGACCUUGGCAGUGAAAGGAAAAAAAAUACUAGAAAAUGAAAGUGACUGUCAACUCCCAACAGGGAUGGAUCACACCAUAAAUCAAGCACAGCCUGGAGAGGGAAGAGGGGCUCUGGCUGGGGGCGAGCACAGCGAGGGAAACCAUCGGUUCGGCGUUCCCAGAUCCAUGCACUGCGGUAACAAAGAUCGUGACGACCUGCAAGGGAACCUGUGGGAAGGGCAAUGGCUGGAGCAGUGUGUGCAGCAGACUGCUCGUCAGCAACAUCAAAAGGAAUUCAGGCUCACCUGGUCACAGUCUGGCCAUCACAUUUUUAUAGGAACAAAGAAAGAUGCGGUAUGCCCUUCACAUAUGCUCGUAUUAAAAAUGCAUUAGUGAUGCCUCCAUGACCACAUUUCCAACAGCCCGUAGCAGCGCGGUUUGGCGAGCAGAGUGUGCUGUUCACCCACAGCCCAGUAUGAGCGAGGCUGCCCAGCGCCCUGCCAAAGUGAUGGGACUGCUGCCCGGGGCACUGCACUCCUCUGCCACCGGCCCUUGCUCUGCAGCAUCAGCAUCAGCUCUGCGAUGGGAGCCAGGUGGGUUGGAAGACAAGAGCUCGCAGCAUCAGGUCCAGGUGGGUGCCCCCGUUGUCGUGGUCUAUCCCCAUGGACUGGGUUUCUUCAGGACUCAGAGACUGACGCUUCAGUCUUGAGAUGGGGAAAUUUUCGUCUCGACUCUCCUUAAAUCUUUCUGCAGCGAGAGAUUUCAAGUCAAAUGUGUUUCCGCACACUUUUCCUGAGAAGGCGGAUUUACAUAUGCAUUAGGUUCAUUUUAUCAGAAUACACACACAGCAGUGACACAUCUCAUUGACAAUGUGCUGUCUGAUGGAUAACUCCAUACAAAACACACAUUUGAAAGGAAAAUAGGAGGAGGAAUAGGAUUAAGAGUCUGUACAUAAGUGACAUCAUGUUUUGUGAAGAUGAACUGUGGGAAUGUCUUGCCCUACUUUGUAUUUUUUGAUUACUCAGAGAUCCAACAAGUCCUUUGCAAGUGUAAGAAAUACUAACGUACAGCAUCACCAUAUAGAAACUACCAGGACAAAGUUUUUCCUCACAGGAAUUUGUCACGUACUGCAUUUGAUAAUCACGGGAUAAAGGAAAAAUGAGAAGAGAAAAGGGGGAAAAAAAAUAGUGACUUGAGUUUUGCCUGUUCCUAAACUUAGAUUUUUUGAUACCGCAUCUCCACGUUGAUUUAUUUUUGCCAUCAUCCAGACAGUUCCGUGCUGUGAUUUUGUUUUUCAAAGGCUGGCAGAAAUGUUUACAUAUCAGGAGACCGGGGAGAACAACAACAGGAGGGCAGCAUCAGGCUGUUACCCCUCCGGGCUUCUAUCUGUGUCUGACCGGGGUGGUGCUUAUAAAGUUCUGUUGUUGCGGUGGU
rnacentral:lncRNA from 7 species